rnacentral:piRNA from 1 species
GGCCAGGUGGAAGUUGCAGACA